rnacentral:rRNA from 1 species
GAUGAACGCUGGCGGCGUGCCUAAUACAUGCAAGUCGAGCGAACGGACGAGAAGCUUGCUUCUCUGAUGUUAGCGGCGGACGGGUGAGUAACACGUGGAUAACCUACCUAUAAGACUGGGAUAACUUCGGGAAACCGGAGCUAAUACCGGAUAAUAUUUUGAACCGCAUGGUUCAAAAGUGAAAGACGGUCUUGCUGUCACUUAUAGAUGGAUCCGCGCUGCAUUAGCUAGUUGGUAAGGUAACGGCUUACCAAGGCAACGAUGCAUAGCCGACCUGAGAGGGUGAUCGGCCACACUGGAACUGAGACACGGUCCAGACUCCUACGGGAGGCAGCAGUAGGGAAUCUUCCGCAAUGGGCGAAAGCCUGACGGAGCAACGCCGCGUGAGUGAUGAAGGUCUUCGGAUCGUAAAACUCUGUUAUUAGGGAAGAACAUAUGUGUAAGUAACUGUGCACAUCUUGACGGUACCUAAUCAGAAAGCCACGGCUAACUACGUGCCAGCAGCCGCGGUAAUACGUAGGUGGCAAGCGUUAUCCGGAAUUAUUGGGCGUAAAGCGCGCGUAGGCGGUUUUUUAGUCUGAUGUGAAAGCCCACGGCUCAACCGUGGAGGGUCAUUGGAAACUGGAAAACUUGAGUGCAGAAGAGGAAAGUGGAAUUCCAUGUGUAGCGGUGAAAUGCGCAGAGAUAUGGAGGAACACCAGUGGCGAAGGCGACUUUCUGGUCUGUAACUGACGCUGAUGUGCGAAAGCGUGGGGAUCAAACAGGAUUAGAUACCCUGGUAGUCCACGCCGUAAACGAUGAGUGCUAAGUGUUAGGGGGUUUCCGCCCCUUAGUGCUGCAGCUAACGCAUUAAGCACUCCGCCUGGGGAGUACGACCGCAAGGUUGAAACUCAAAGGAAUUGACGGGGACCCGCACAAGCGGUGGAGCAUGUGGUUUAAUUCGAAGCAACGCGAAGAACCUUACCAAAUCUUGACAUCCUUUGACAACUCUAGAGAUAGAGCCUUCCCCUUCGGGGGACAAAGUGACAGGUGGUGCAUGGUUGUCGUCAGCUCGUGUCGUGAGAUGUUGGGUUAAGUCCCGCAACGAGCGCAACCCUUAAGCUUAGUUGCCAUCAUUAAGUUGGGCACUCUAAGUUGACUGCCGGUGACAAACCGGAGGAAGGUGGGGAUGACGUCAAAUCAUCAUGCCCCUUAUGAUUUGGGCUACACACGUGCUACAAUGGACAAUACAAAGGGCAGCGAAACCGCGAGGUCAAGCAAAUCCCAUAAAGUUGUUCUCAGUUCGGAUUGUAGUCUGCAACUCGACUACAUGAAGCUGGAAUCGCUAGUAAUCGUAGAUCAGCAUGCUACGGUGAAUACGUUUCCGGGUCU